rnacentral:rRNA from 1 species
AACAAUCAGCAUCGCUCCAUAGCGUAUAUUAAAGUUGUUGCAGUUAAAAAGCUCGUAGUUGAAUUUCGGGAUUGACACAUCGGUCGUGCCUUAAGGGGUAUGAACUGGUGUAGUCAAUUUCUCACCUUCUGGAGAACCGCGAUGCCCUUAAUUGGGUGUCACGGGGAACCAGGACCUUUACUUUGAAAAAAUUAGAGUGUUUAAAGCAGGCAUUUUGCUUGAAUACAUUAGCAUGGAAUAAUAAAAUAGGACGGCAUGAUUCUAUUUUGUUGGUUUCUAGGAUCACCGUAAUGAUUAAUAGGGAUAGUUGGGGGCAUUAGUAUUCAAUUGUCAGAGGUGAAAUUCUUGGAUUUAUUGAAGACUAACUACUGCGAAAGCAUUUGCCAAGGAUGUUUUCAUUAAUCAAGAACGAAAGUUAGGGGAUCGAAGACGAUCAGAUACCGUCGUAGUCUUAACCAUAAACUAUGCCGACUAGGAAUCAGACGAUGUUAAUUUUUUAAUGACUCGUUUGGCACCUUACGGGAAACAAGUGG